GUGCUUGCUUCGGCAGCAUGUAUAUUAACAAUGUAAUGAGAGAGAAGAUUAGCAUGGUGCAUGCACAAGAAUGUCAUGAAAAUUCAUAUUUUAUGCAAUAUAAUU
ensembl:snRNA U6 U6 spliceosomal RNA